UUCUCUUCACUAGAAUCAACACUAACACAAAAGAAACAAGAAAACUAAGAAGAAGAGAUAGCAUCAAGCUUAUCCCGACUUAAUACUAUUGCAGUCUGGCAUUUUCUUCCACUCUUCCAUCUUCUUUAUACUACCCCGAGACAUCAACUCCUAUACUAUGGAUGAUAACUACUUUUCUUAACUAUUCAUCUAUUCUACCUACUGAACCACCUUUUUAGUAGUUAUCUAUCCCUAUUUAUACUAGACACUAGAUAUCUUCAUUCUGAAAAUAACUACUUAUUUUACAUAGCCCCACUCCAAACUGUACAACAUCCCUGUAAAUACAGUAUUGAUAAAUAAAAACCAAUCCCCCCUUUUUAUUUUAACUGGAUUGUUUGAUCUCUUCAAUUUCUGGUGCUGACCCCAUUUGGUCUUAUUCUAAUACUAUAUCUUCUUCCUCCGACUCGUCCUGAAUCUCUACCCUUAAUUGAAUUGUUAAAACUUCAUUGUACGCUCCCAAUUCUUGAACCUGAGCUUCCAAUUGGAGUAUUCUAUCAUCUUUUGCUUCCAAUUAUUGCUCUUGUUGUUGCAAUUUCUCCUCCAAUUUUCUAAUUCUUACUCCCAUUGAGGCAGAUGUCUGUGACCAACCAAUACUGACCAAAUCACUUUCCAAUUUCUUUACUGUUUCUUUCAAAACAAUAAUUUCUGCCUGUAGCUCAUCCAUUUUGUUUCAAUAUUGGUCACCCAAUUGUUUCUUUUCAAGCUCCAAUGCCUCCUUCUUCUCUCGUUCCAUCUUCAACUGAGCGUUCAUCUUCUCCUGUUCUAAUCUAUAUGAUUUGCAAGUUCGUAGUAAUUCUUGCCUUUGAUUUUCUAGGAUAUGUUGAAUCCUCUGUUUCUCCUUUGACCAAUUUUCUACUCUCUCAUCCAAUUCAUGCUUCACUUGAAUCUUGGAUUCCAAUUCUACCUUGAUGACUUGUUCUUAUUCCCUGAUUUUACAAUUUUACUCUAAUAUUAUUUUCUUGAUCGCUUCCACUUGCCUCUUUAAGCUACCCUCAUCUUUGA
rnacentral:lncRNA from 1 species